CCUACGGGGGGCAGCAGUGGGGGAUAUUGCACAAUGGGGGAAACCCUGAUGCAGCAACGCCGCGUGAGUGAAGAAGUAUUUCGGUAUGUAAAGCUCUAUCAGCAGGGAAGAGAAUGACGGUACCUGACUAAGAAGCCCCGUCUAACUACGUGCAAGCAGCCGCGGUAAUACGGAGGGGGCGAGCGUUAUACGGAGUUACUGGGUGUAAAGGGAGCGUAGACGGCUGGUCAAGUCUGAAGUGAAAGCCCGGGGCUUAAACCCGGAACGGCCUUGGAAACUGAGCAGCUAGAGUGCGGGAGAGGUAAGCGGAAUGCGUGGUGUAGCGGUGAAAUGCGUAGAUAUUAGGAAGAACACCAGUGGCGAAGGCGGCUUACUGGACAGCAACUGACGUUGAGGCUCGAAAGCGUGGGGAUCAAACAGGAUUAGAUACCCGGGUAGUC
rnacentral:rRNA from 1 species